GCGCUUUAGAAAAAGAAUAAUGAAUUUCUUUAUACCUCUCCAGGUGGAGUUUUUACAUAUACUGUAAACAAUGCUAGACUGUAAUGGAGUUGAAAGACUACGAAGAAGACAAUUAAUAGCAAAUGUGAAGUUUUACAUAUACUGUAAACAAUGCUAGACUGUAAUGGAGUUGAAAGACUACGAAGAAGACUUUACAAUUACUGUAAUAGCAAAUAGAGGAGAAAAAUUCACAAAUGUCAGAAGAUGCUCGGACUCGAUCGUGAAAGGGAAACAGAACUUACCAACUAUUUAUAGAUAGUAAAAUGUUAUCACUCAUCAAGCUUCCUGCAAAAAUCCUGGAUAUGUCAUUAAUUAACAUACAAUGCGAAUUUUUAAUUUUUUUAUAAUCCUCUUCAAAAAUCUCAUAAUAGCGAUAACAAUAUUUAUUAUUUUUAUAGGCUUUAUAUGAUUAUUAAUAGGCCUAUAUACGUUAUUAUGUUAUUACUAGUACUAUUUAUCUAAAUAAUAGAAAAUAUCCCGUAAUAUUGUUGCAAAUAAUACAGACACAGGCAUAUGUAAGAUAAUAAGAUAUAAUAUUUUGAGAAUUAAAACCAGGCAUAUGGAUUUUUGAUGAACGUACAUAUAAUAUAUAUUGUUAAAGUGUAUAAAAAUGUCCUAACUUGAUUUCAGUGCUUAGAAAUAAAGAUCAACUGGAGUUAUGAA